rnacentral:rRNA from 1 species
CCUACGGGAGGCAGCAGUGGGGAAUAUUGCGCAAUGGGGGAAACCCUGAUGCAGCGACGCCGCGUGAGUGAGGAAGUAUUUCGGUAUGUAAAGCUCUGUCAGCAGGGAAGAACGUGACGUUACCUAACUAAGAAGCCACGGCUAACUACGGGCCAGCAGCCGCGGUAUUACGUCGGGGGCAAACGUUAUCCGGAUUUACUGGGGGUAAAGGGAGCGUAGACGGAAUAGCAAGUCAGAUGUGAAAACUCGGGGCUCAACUCCGGGAGUGCAUUGGAAACUGUUGAUCUAGAGUGUCGGAGAGGAAAGCGGAAUUCCUAGUGUAGCGGUGAAAUGCGUAGAUAUUAGGAGGAACACCAGUGGCGAAGGCGGCUUGCUGGACGAUGACUGACGUUGAGGCUCGAAAGCGUGGGGAGCAAACAGGAUUAGAUACCCGUGUAGUC